GAUGAACGCUAGCUACAGGCUUAACACAUGCAGGUCGAGGGGAAACGACAUCGAAAGCUUGCUUUUGAUGGGCGUCGACCGGCGCACGGGUGAGUAACGCGUAUCCAACCUGCCCAUCACUUGGGAAUAACCUUGCGAAAGUAAGACUAAUACCCAAUGAUAUCCCACGAAGGCAUCGGAAUGGGAUUAAAGAUUUAUCGGUGAUGGAUGGGGAUGCGUCUGAUUAGCUUGUUGGCGGGGUAACGGCCCACCAAGGCAACGAUCAGUAGGGGUUCUGAGAGGAAGGUCCCCCACAUUGGAACUGAGACACGGUCCAAACUCCUACGGGAGGCAGCAGUGAGGAAUAUUGGUCAAUGGGCGAGAGCCUGAACCAGCCAAGUAGCGUGCAGGAAGACGGCCCUAUGGGUUGUAAACUGCUUUUAUAAGGGAAUAAAGUGGGUCACGUGUGACUUUUUGCAUGUACCUUAUGAAUAAGGACCGGCUAAUUCCGU
rnacentral:rRNA from 1 species